UUGUUUCUAGCAUUUACUUUAGUAAUGUGCUGUGGUGCUUUGAAUGAAGGUCUGGCAAGUACUAAAUCCUUCAAUACUUCUCAGUCAGAUCAGGAGAGAAUAGAGAUAUUUAGUUGUGUUUUAGAUGUUUGAAUAGAAAUCCUACAAAUUUAAGAGUAGAGGCAAUAAGCUGGUGAGACACCUGUAGGAGGUGGGAAGGGCAGUUCCACCGAGGCUGGAAGGACACUGGGAAGGCAUGAUGGGGCACGUGGCUCUAGAAGGUCAGGGUUCACGUCAAGUUUCGAAGGUUCAGGGGGAGCCAUGUGGAGAGACUGAGCAAAGGAGUCAGAGGUGCAAGGUAGUCCAGGUAUCUUUGAAAGGAAAGCUUUUCUAUACAGGCUGUUGAUAGUACCCUAGUCAUAGGUUUUGACUCUGGUUAACUUGACUGAGAGAGAAAGACUUUGAUUUUUUCUUGGAAC